rnacentral:lncRNA from 1 species
CUCAAUAUUGCAAAGGUCUAUAGUGCCAAUGAUUAUACUGCAAGAAGAUCUCUUUGGAAAACUCUUGAGUAAUUUGCAAGAUUCUUGGUGCAUUCUUGGAGACUUCAAUACUGUUCUUGCAUCGGAUGAGUCUAAAGGAGGACCCAUUCCUAACCAGGUAUUUUGUUUUGUGUGUAAUUCUUGGGUUAACUCUAAUAAGCUUCUUGAUAUGCUUAUCACUGGUCCUUUCUUUACUUGGAGUAAUGGCAAGAGUGGUACUCAUAGGAUUGAGCAUAAGCUGGAUCAUGUCUUGAGCAGUGGUACAGUUAUAGAUUUCUCAUAAACGGUUUAUAUCACAAUCCUUUGUCGGUUUCCUUUUCUUCUGCUUCCUCCUUUAUAGGCCUGCUUCAUUUAAAUUCUUUAAAAUGUGGCUGUUCCGUCCAAAUUCAAAGGAUGUUAUUAAGUAAUCUUGGAUUGAACCUAUUUUGGGAUGUGAUUUUAGAGAAAGAAAUACAGAGAUUCAAACACAUUCUUAAGGCUUGGAACAAAUAUGUUUUUGGUAAUUUCAUAAUGUUUUGGUUGAAAAAAAACAUGUUUUAUCUUCUGCUCAACAGGCUUUAGAAAAUUCUUUGCCUUUUAAGAUGGAUUCUGUCCUUUAUGAGGAAAAACAAGCUAUGGAAGAUCUUGAUUAUGCCUUGAAAUGUC